rnacentral:rRNA from 1 species
GGUUUCCGUAGGUGAACCUGCGGAACGAUCAUU